rnacentral:tRNA from 1 species
CAGGGGGUCGUCUAAUUUAAGGAUCCUAGCUUUGGGAGCUAGGGGUAGGAGUUCAACUCUCUUCUCCCUGA